GAUGAAGAACGUAGCGAAAUGCGAUAACUAGUGUGAAUUGCAGAAUUCCGUGAAUCAUCGAGUCUUUGAACGCACAUUGCGCCCCCUGGUAUUCCGGGGGGCAUGCCUGUCCGAGCGUCAUUGCUGCCCAUCAAGCACGGCUUGUGUGUUGGGUCGUCGUCCCCCCCUCCGGGGGGGGACGGGCCCUAAAGGCAGCGGCGGCACCGCGUCCGAUCCUCGAGCGUAUGGGGCUUUGUCACCCGCUCUGUAGGCCCGGCCGGCGCUUGCCGAACGCAAAACAACCAUUCUUUCCAGGUUGACCACGGAUCAGGUAGGGAUACCCGCUGAACUUAAGCAUAUCAAUAAGCGGAGGA
rnacentral:misc_RNA from 1 species